rnacentral:tRNA from 1 species
GGAGAUGUAGCUCAGUGGUAGAGUACUUGCCUAGCAUGCAUGAGGCCCUAAGUUCAAUCCUUAGUACCCA